UACGUAGGCAGCAAGCGUUGUUCGGAGUUACUGGGCGUAAAGGGUGCGUAGGCGGCCCUGUAAGUAUGGUGUGAAAUCUCCCGGCUUAACUGGGAGGGUGCGCUAUAGACUGCGGGGCUCGAGUGUGGGAGAGGAAAGUGGAAUUCCUGGUGUAGCGGUGAAAUGCGUAGAUAUCAGGAAGAACACCCGUGGCGAAGGCGGCUCUCUGGGACGGUACUGACGCUGAGACGCGAAAGCGUGGGGAGCGAACAGG
rnacentral:rRNA from 1 species